rnacentral:rRNA from 1 species
GAUGAACGCUGGCGGCGUGCCUAAUACAUGCAAGUCGAGCGAACAGAUGAGGAGCUUGCUCCUCUGACGUUAGCGGCGGACGGGUGAGUAACACGUGGAUAACCUACCUAUAAGACUGGGAUAACUUCGGGAAACCGGAGCUAAUACCGGAUAAUAUAUUGAACCGCAUGGUUCAAUAGUGAAAGACGGUUUUGCUGUCACUUAUAGAUGGAUCCGCGCCGCAUUAGCUAGUUGGUAAGGUAACGGCUUACCAAGGCAACGAUGCGUAGCCGACCUGAGAGGGUGAUCGGCCACACGGAAACUGAGACACGGUCCAGACCCCAACGGGAGGCAGCAGUAGGGAAUCUUCCGCAAUGGGGGAAAGCCUGACGGAGCAACGCCGCGUGAGUGAUGAAGGUCUUCGGAUCGUAAAACUCUGUUAUUAGGGAAGAACAAAUGUGUAAGUAACUAUGCACGUCUGGACGGUACCUAAUCAGAAAGCCACGGCUAACUACGU